ACUACGAUGGCCUUCGUAAAUAACUACUAACAGUCACAACGAAUGUUCCAUACAAAUUAGCGGUGCAUUUCACGGAGACCAAGUAGUUUAUUAAGACGGUAUAGAUGUGUAAACAUCACUGAUGUGCUUCCUAAUAACCUUACCAGAGCCGAAAAAAAAAAUUACCGUUGAAAAACAAAAUGGCCGUUGAAUUCCAGAGAAAAGGUGUGGCAACAUAUUUGACAGAACCUUUAAGAACAACCUUAUGGGUCACUCUAAAUAAUGGCCUCCUGUCGGUAUGAAAUAUUUCACAGUUCGGAAUGGAAAUUCAUCACAUUGUCAUUAGCAAUGGUAACCCUAAAAGAACUGAAAAAAAGUGUCUUGAAGCCAUGUGCAACUGAA